CAGUGGCCAGUCGGAGUCCACGGCUGGGGUUGGAUGCCUGCCAACCGUGGGCUGGCUGAGGCUGCAUCUAUGGCAGAGGAUACUCGGACCAUUUCAAAUCAGGCUAUCAGAGGAGCGAUGGGUGACACAGAAGAGCCAGAGCUGGGAAGUAAGGUGUGAUUCGGAAGAUGGCCAUUGAGAUACCACAGCACCUGGGAUGUACUGUCACGUUAGAAUGACACCGAGGGAAGCAUAGACCACGUGGGAAGAAGUGGAGGACGUCAGCCCAGUCCAGUGAGCUGUGCUGUAAGGUCAGGUGUGGAGCCUGAAAUGAGGUUAGCGUAAAGGACCGAGAUGAUGUGGUCACUCAGAAGCCAUCACCCCGAGAAGAUGAGCCGGAAUCUUCUGUACCUGAAAACAGCAAAGCUGCUUUUUUAACCUGAUUGAGGUUUGUAUCACAUGAUAUCACUUACAUGUGGAAUGUUUA